UCCAUAAAUAUUGGGACAGUGACACAGUUUUGGUAAUUUUGCCUCUGUACACCACCACAGUGGAUUUGAA